GGGCAUCUUGAGCUGCAGGCAUCUCGCGCUGCGGGCAUCUCCCGAGCAGUCCCAGCCCCCACCCCUAAGCGCAAGCGCCACUCUGAGCACAAACACAGAAGACUGGCAGCUUGGCAGCCAUGACAAAUGUUUUCCUUCUGAUCCAGACAUAGGCUGAGAGAUGUUUCACAAAUUUCUUUGGCGUUCAAAUGUUAAAAUGCUCAUGGUUAAUAGCCAUUUAAUGUUUUAUGUUAAGCUUACUGCCUAUAUUGUACUAUACUGUUAUCAGUCUUCUAAAAAUGCUCAUGGUUGAUAUUAAGCUUACUGCCUAUA